ACGAACUCCGAUUGUGAAGGCAGCUUACGGGAGNGCAACUGACGCUAAAGCUCGAAGGUGCGGGUAUCGAACAGGAUUAGAUACCCUGGUAGUCCGCACAGUAAACGAUGGAUGCCCGCUGUUAGCACCUAGUGUUAGCGGCUAAGCGAAAGCAUUAAGCAUCCCACCUGGGGAGUACGCCGGCAACGGUGAAACUCAAAGGAAUUGACGGGGGCCCGCACAAGCGGCGGAACAUGUGGUUUAAUUCGAUGAUACGCGAGGAACCUUACCCGGGCUUGAAUUGCAGAUGUUUAUAUCAGAGAUGAUAUAUUCCCUUCGGGGCAUUUGUGAAGGUGCUGCAUGGUUGUCGUCAGCUCGUGCCGUGAGGUGUCGGCUUAAGUGCCAUAACGAGCGCAACCCCUUUUUUUAGUUGCCAUCAGGUAGUGCUGGGCACUCUAGAGAUACUGCCACCGUAAGGUGUGAGGAAGGUGGGGAUGACGUCAAAUCAGCACGGCCCUUACGUCCGGGGCUACACACGUGUUNCAAUGGGUGGUACAGAGAGUUGGUUGUACGCAAGUGCGAUCUAAUCCUAAAAACCAUUCUCAGUUCGGACUGGGGUCUGCAACCCGACCCCACGAAGCUGGAUUCGCUAGUAAUCGCGCAUCAGCCAUGGCGCGGUGAAUACGUUCCCGGG
rnacentral:rRNA from 1 species